rnacentral:lncRNA from 1 species
GCGAAAUUUGUACCCUUUCAAGAGGAGUCUCCGUUGAUUUUUAAGCUCAGAGCAGGAAAGCUUUUGUUUUCUUGGAUAAAAUUCGAGUCAUUUGCAGUCUGUUUUCAAGGUUUCUACUUUCCAUUCCAAAAUUCAAACCAAAAUAAUAUUUUUUUGUAAGAUUUCAGUCUCUAAUCUUCUUCAUUUGAGUCACCGAAUCAAUGGACACCGUGUGGAUGUCCCGUCUUUCUGGCGGCAGUGCACACAAUUGUCACCGAGGUAGGGCAGCGAGGCGUGAAAAUCGCACGGAAAGUUGUUAAAAAAUAACCAGAGAGAAAGUCCGUUUCGUUGUGGUCCUUUUGGCAGAUAGUUUCAUACUCCGCUCUGGGCAUAGACGCGGAGCGGGACGAGUGUCAAGUCAUCAACGUCGUCCUGGAGUGGAACUUAAAGCUCUGCUUCGUGCGCAUUUAUAGUUAUGAGUGCUUAAAGGGCGUGAGGAGGGCGGCGGAGGGUGGUGCAUUCCACACUUAACAUUUAAUUAAAAAUUUUGUAAUUACCAACGGGCGAGGCAAAGGGCAGGGGGAUGAGAGUGUGGAGCGGGCUGGGAGUAGAGUUUGUCUUGGCUUUGCCGCUGCAUCUCCAUCUCCAUCUCUCUCUCUCUCGUUCUCUGUUUAUUUUGCAGCAGUUCACACUUCAGUGGCUCCCAGAACAAACGCCCCACCGCCUCCUCCGGUAACUGUUAUUGCAAUGAACUCUUGGCAGCUGGCUUGGUCUGCUCCAGCAGAAGACAGCAUCCUGCCACUGUCUCUGCCACUGCCUUCGCCUUGGUCUCCAUUUCGUACUAAUUGAUAAAUGUAAACUGCUUUAGUGUGUCCUUUUGUCCCCCGAAAUGGACCUGCCGCUGGGGCUGCAACCUGAAGAAGACACCUGCCACCGUCCCCUCCCCACCUUUGAAAUUUUGACCAAUUAAUUUGUUGCAUUAUCCAUUGUUUCAGACGCUGCAGGGCACUGCAGGGCCAUCUCUCUCUCUCUCUCUCUCUCUCUCGCUGUCUCUCUGUCUGCUCCCUGGAUGCCAGGUGCCACACAUGACUGUGUGUGUGUGUGUGUGUGAGGGCGUGGCUCUGCCAUCAAAGUGCAUGCAAAAUACGUGACAUGCAUAUUGGAAAGUCGUCGGACUAUUUAUUUUUAUUACACAAAAAACAAACAAAAAAAAAACAAAGGGGAAGCAGCGCCAACUUUGGUUUUUGCGUGUGGCACAACUUUGUCAUGAAGUUUUUGGUGGCAGAAAAGUAAACUUCUCGCUAAGCUAAAGCUAUGUUUAUUAUAAUAUCAUCCAAAGACAUUAAAUUAGAUGAAAUAUGCGUUGGAACCAGCACAAGGGAGCGGCAGUAAAGGAGAACACUGAAAAUAAGUGGAAGCAAAAUAAGUUGCAAUAAAGUCUACCCGAGGUGGAGUGUUUCUGCGUAGAUUUAUGAUGUUUAAAUAAGAAGCUUAAGACCCUCUAGAGAGCCUUUCAAUGGAAAAAUAUAUUAUAAGCACUCUCCAGCAGCAACGGUUGCCCCCAAAUGACAAACAAAUGCCAAAAAAAAACCAAUGAACUUUCAGUUCAUAUUCCUCUCUAAUUAGCAUUGGACCUAUACCCAGAGAGGGAUGUCUAAAGUGUCUACCUUAUUUCCCUGAUAAGUUGAUGGAUGCGAUGGAAAUGCAUUGGAAAUGAACGCACACAGAGUGGGCAGAGGACACAGUUUAGCACCUCCCAUAGAUGACCAUUUAAAUGCAAUUUCCACAGCACACAUAUUUGCACUGUUGGCCCCAGGCCAAAAUAUGCACCAAAACAUAGGAAAAUUCUUGUGGCAAAGCAAGGCCGUAAAUAAACGAAGGCAAGUGGAAGCCAGAGGAAGAGAGAGAGAGAGAGAGAGCGAAAAGCCUCCCUGCCGAGUAUUUCUUGGAAUUUUCAUUUGUUGUCUAGAGUUUUUCGCAUGGUUACAAAUUCCACGGCACACCCAACGCAUC